rnacentral:lncRNA from 1 species
UACGUCUCGGUGCCCGGAGGCGGUCGAGUGGAUAAUGCGUAUAGGUGUUACAAGAGUGCGAACCCCUCUGCCUGUGGAGGGGGGUGGCUUAUAUAGAGUGCGCCAGGACCCCAGCCAGCCCACAUAAUGGAGGGGUUAAAGUACAUUAAGCCUGGGGCGUUACUGGUAACGCCCCUCAUAAAGUGCCUUAACUAUCAUUAAGUCUAUUCAAUUACAGGCCGUUGCGUUGCAGAGUGCCUUCUGACCUUCUGGUGGUCGAGUGUAUCUUCAUGGUCGAGUCCUUCUAGUCAGUCGAGUGGGUUCCUCGUUGGUCGACUGGAAGGUGAUCUCUUCUAAGGGUGUCCUUGGGUAGGAUGUUUAGGUCAGGCCUAUGACCCUACCCUAGGUACAUGAAUCCAUCAUUAGCCCCCGAAUGGAUCGAGGCUUGAAUGAGGAAGGAGUUGAUGCUAUUUCCGAUUGAACUUUGGCAUGUUGGUUAUGCGUCGUUCUUGACCAAGAUCUUCUUUGUUGAUAACGAGCAACUUUUCUUCAGUCGACUCGAUCCAUUCUUGUUCUUUCGUCGAGUGAUCUUUUAUACUUUGCCGGUUCCCGAGCGACGGAUCACAGGAAAUCUCGCACUUGACAGACCGAUCUGCCGCUCGAGGAUUCCACGGGAUACGAAAUUUUGGGAAGCGCGCGAAGCGAAACGGACCGCGCCGCUCGGACGGGACAGGACAUGGACGCCUCGAUCUCCGUGCUGCUUUUUCCGCCACGUAUCGUGUCAAUGCAACUGUUUCGGGAUAUGAUUGGAUUGACCGGGUCCACCUAUCAUCCACUCAGAAGGGAUGUUAUAAAUGCGACUUGUGAGGGUUUCUGCACAGUACUCCAUUCUUUCUCCUCUGCUCUCCUCGUCUCCGCCCAACGCAACCGCUGUCGCCUUCGCAACGCUCUCCCUCGCGCAUUUCGCCGGCGGCCAUGGGCAAGGAGAAGACGGCGGUGCUGGAGCGCGCAAAGAAGGCGUCGGCGGUGGAGAAGGCGUCGGCGGCGGAGAAGGCGAAGGGGAGAUCCACCAGCCGCAGCGGGUCUUCGUCGAGAUCCCGCCUGCCGAAGGGCUGGGUCCAGGGAGAUUGGAUCCAGUCGACCAUCAGGGAGAAGGAUCUCCUCGACAUGGCCGACGAUGGGCUGAUCCCCCACGCCGCCGCAAGACUUCCCGGUAAAGAGUGGCAACCUCAGCCGGAGGAGGGUGAGUGUGUGCUCCUGGCCACUCAUGUCGAUCGAGGAUUUUCUCUGCCACCGAGCGUUUUCUUUCGUUGUUUUUUGAACUUCUUUGGAGCCCAGCUCCACCACUUUACUCCGAACUCCAUCGCGUAUCUUGCUGCGUUUGUAUCUAUGUGCGAGAACUUCCUGGGCUGUCGACCGCACUGGGGCUUGUUCAAGCACAUCUUCACAUGUCGUUCUCAGACCGUGAAGAAGGCGAGUCCAGGCGAUGAGAAAACCCAAGUGGUCCAGAUGUGCGGGGGCCUAGGAAUCCAAGUGAGGAACAAGAGCACCUUCCCAGCUAUGACUUUUCCUGAGUCGGUCAGGGGCUGGCAGUCGACCUGGUUCUACUUCCAGAAUGAGCUGACGUCGGGACAGUCGAGUGGACUCCCUCCAUUCACCAUGAGUCGAGUGAACAAACCCUCCUCUCUGAAGGUGGUUCCGGAGGAGAGAGCUGAUGUGAAGAUGUUGAUGGAUCGCGUGGUGCAGUUGGUUCGGGACGGCGUGACUGGCAUGGACCUUCUGGAGGUUUUCCUUCGGAGGCGAAUCCAGCCUCUUCAGUUCCGGAGCCACUUCAUGUGGUUGUACUGCAGAACCGAAGACGAGACUCGAGUCCACCCGGAAGCAGUCGACGAGGCCAUAGUGGAAAGGUGGAUGGCCGCGAUCACUGGGAACAAGGACAAUCCUCGUGGAUCCAGGAGGAUUUCUCCACUCGACCAUCACAGCGUUCCAGAUAAGGUACAUUUGCUCUGCGUUCCAUUGUAUAUCUGUUGAAUUUGUUUCUGUAUGUUCUGCAAUUUGGUCGAUUGAACUCUGUCUUGACGUCUUCCAGGCCCUUACCGAGCUGUACUCAAUGCCCAAUGGAGCUCAGGCUCCGACUGAGGAGGGAGAAGCCAGCGGGGGCGAGAGCCAGGAUGAGUGGGAUUCAGACGCUGCUGAAGAUGACGAUGACGACGACGACGAUGACGAGGACGAAGUAGAGGAGGAGGAGGAGGAGGUUGCACCACCGCGCUCGGAAAGGCGGUCGAAACUCGUUCAUGACCCUGCGACUGAACGCGGUAAGGGGGUUGCAACUACCUCGCAGUCGACCAAACGCCCUCGGACCACUUCUCCGGUGCCGACUGAGAAGGCGCCGAAGCAGUCGAAGGUAGCUCCGUCGAGGCCAACCAAGCCCCUGCCGAAAAUGAAGGUGUCCAUCCCCACCAUAUCAGGGUAAACAUAUUACUUAAGUCUUCCUGUUUUGUACAAGCUUUAUCUCUGGUUGAUACUUGAAUUAAUCGACUGAUUCUUUGGAACUUCAGUGCUGCAACUUCUGAAACCUCAGGCAAGGCUGAGGACCAUGAGAUGGAGGACGCGGCAACCUCAAAUCCUGGUACUAUACCCUUAAUUCCGUCCUUAGUCGACUGACUCAUGGUUUCUAACUUUGAUUCUUCUCCGAAGCUCCAUCCAAUGACAUUAUCACCCUUCCUGAUGAUGAUGAUGAGGACGAAGAACCACUGAAGCAUAGGAGGAGUAGGAAGGCGUCCACUGGUAAAGCAUCCCAAGAUGUGACGACGCCCGAGACUAUUGCCACGGAGGGGGAGAACACCACUCGACACACCGUGUCUUUCGCGGUGCCGUUGACGAGUGCUCGUCCCACUUCGUCGAGUGUUGGGCAACCUUCGCUCUUCACCACGCACCACGUCCCGGAGGACCAAGCUACCGCUGCUAAGGAGGCGAUACGCCAAGCAGGGAUCAUGAUGGAGCAGGUGAAGAUCAUCCGAGAUGCAAGCCAAGCAGCUUAUGACGCCAGCUCCGCUCUUCAAAGCAAUGUUCAGGUCAGUGGACCACCGCCUGUUCUGUUCGGAUAUGCUAUCAAAACUUUUUUCUUUCUGAAAUCCAUAGCAAUCACCCAGUGGGUGUGUCGAUAAAAACUCCGUGUUAGCGGGGGCACGCUGAGUGCACCCGCUGGGUGUAGUCCCCAAGGCUAAGGUCGACUAUUGGCAGUCGGCCUUAGGCUUUAUAAGUAAAGAUUGAUCAUCAUUCGACUAGGGCGAAUGGGUUUCUGAAACCAGUGGGGGCACGCUGAGUGCACCCACUGGGUGUAGUCCCCGAGACUGUGGUCGACUGCUGGCAGUUGAUUAUAGUCUGAAGAAGUUUCUUUUUUUUUGGUCGACUGGUCAACUCUGUCUUGAAUAAGACCAGUGGGGGCACGCUGAGUGCACCCACUGGGUGUAGUCCCCGAGACUACGGUCGAAUGCUUGUAUUCGACUGUAGUCUUAGAAACGUAUGAUUUUUUCCUAUUCACUCGGAAGUGAAUCAUCUUUGACAUUUUGUCGAUUGGUUCUUCGUAGAAAUCCUGUGAUCUUGCGGCGCGCUAUACUGAACUGGAGCAGAAGCACAUUCAGCUCGAGCUGGAUCUGAAGCUAGUGCAGGAGAAUCUGACGAAGGCGAAGGAGGAGACCAAAGGUAUGUUUGGUGAGACCUCGACGACUCCUUUUUCCUCCCAUUUGUUUCAAGAUCUGACUUUGCUGUAAUUUGCAGGCAAGGUGAAGGAGGCCCAGAAGAAGAAGGAUCUUGAGCUAUCUGAGAAGACCAAGCUUGCUGACGAGAAGUUAGCUUCAGUCACCAAGCUCGAACAGGAAAAUACCAAUCUGAAAGCUGCUCUGGCAAUUGCCACCAAGGAUGUCGACCGACUGGAAACUGACAAGACCACUCUGACCGAGAAGAUCAACCAGUUGACUGGGAAGAAGAAUGACCUGGAAGGCUUCCUAGGUGGUCUUGCUAAGAAAUUGUUCCUUAUGCUCGAAGGUAAUCUUUUACACUCGACCAACAUUUCCAACUGUGAUGCUCACAUUCGACCAUUAUCUUGACUCGGAGUUUUGUCUUUGCAGAAUUCUGUCGAAACUUUGAAGAAGAAACUAGCCAGUUGGAGCCGAAACUUGACCCUGUCAAUUCUCCGGUAAAUGAUGAAGUUGCCAUGAAUGUCUUCCGACUGGAGUCCCGUGUUGCAGCUGUCGUGGAUUAUCUUGCAAGACUGAAGGCUGCCACUUCUCGCAUCGACUCGACGCUUUGGCCCAGGGCGAGACUUCAGAAUGACCUCGAGUCGUUGAUGGCUCGACUAAACACGGUCCCCGACCGUGUGCAAGAGUGGAAGAAGUCCUCGGCUCGGUGCGGCGCUGAUGUUGCCCUGUGUCUGGCCCGAGUCCACUGUAAGGACGUGCGAGAAGAGAAGCUGGCAGCUCUCCGAGUGGCCAACACCAAGAAACAUGACUUCAGGUCCUUCAUGGAAACUUUCGUCGCUGCUGCUACCUGGAUCGCAGACGGGAUCGACCUUGAUGAGUUUGUUGCUCCUUCCAACCCUCCACAGGAGGGGUAAAAAACUUUCUUUAAGCCCGACACUUUAAAUUUGCCUCGGUAUGCCGAGUGGAAUUGUAACCGAUAAACCUUAACAGGCUUAGUGCCUGAGCACUCUCGGUUCCUUUAGGUAUCGACCUAAACUUGGCUUUGAUGUUUGGAUAUGAUUGCUUUUGGCUCGAAUUGUCCUUUGCAGGUUCACAGCAAGAUGCUCACUGCAGUCGACUUAUUCCUUAGGCGAGCACUGGGCUGCAGCUAAGCCCCCGAGUGGGAGGUUUGCUCUUCACUCGGUAGGAUUUUUAUACCUUAGGCGAGCACUGGGCUGCAGCUAAGCCUCCGAGUGAGAGGUUUGCUCUUCACUCGGUAGGAUUUUUUAUACCUUAGGCGAGCGCUGUGCUGCAUCUAAGCCCCCGAGUGAGAGGUUUGCUCUUCACUCGGUAGGAUUUUUAUAUCUUAGGCGAGCACUGGGCUGCAGCUAAGCCCCCGAGUGAGAGGUUUGCUCUUCACUCGGUAGGAUUUUUUAUACCUUAGGCGAGUGCUGUGCUGCAGCUAAGCCCCCGAGUGAGAGGUUUGCUCUUCACUCGGUAGGAUUUUUUAUACCUUAGGCGAGCACUGGGCUGCAGCUAAGCCUCCGAGUGAGAGGUUUGCUCUUCACUCGGUAGGAUUUUCACGUUGUAUUUGUGGCGAAGCUCAGAGGAGAGGGUCGCAGUCGACCUGCACCUCGCCUUCCUUGCAAGCACACAUUGUACUUAUGGCGUAGCUCGGAGGAGAAGGUCGCAGUCGACCUGCGCCUCGUCCUUCUUGCGAGCACACAUUGUACUUAUGGCGUAGCUCGGAGGAGAGAGUCGCAGUCGACCUGCACCUCGUCCUCCUUGCAAGCGUACGUUGUACUUAGGCGAGUACUUGGACUGCAGCUAAGCCUCCGAGUGGAAGUCUGGCUUAUCACUCGGUAGGAUUUUUAAUAACUUAGACGAGCACUGGGCUGUAGCUAAGCCUCCGAGUGGAAGUCUGGCUUACCACUCGGUACGAUUUUUAAUAACGUAGGCGAGCACUGGACUGCAGCUAAGCCUCCGAGUGGAAGUCUGGCUUACCACUCGGUAGGAUUUUUAUAACUUAGGCGAGCACUGGGCUGCAGCUAAGCCUCCGAGUGGAAGUCUGGCUUACCACUCGGUAGGAUUUUUGUAACUUAGGUGAAACGGAUUCGCGGCUAAGCCCCCGAGUGGAAGUCUGGCUUACCACUCGGUAGGAUUUGUACAAACUUAGGCGAAACGGAUUCGCGACUAAGCCACCCACUGGGGGAAAAUUUUACUGGACAAAAAUAAAAGGUGACAAAAAUUAUGAAGGAAUUAUGACACUAUUAUUUUGAAAUCCAUGAACUACAGAAGUACUUUAUUACAACUCAUCCGAGUGAAAAACAUUAAGUGUAAAAUGGGCGGAGCAGAUCCGCAUUCCAAACUCGGGGCUCUUCGAUAUUGUGUUCGACGUUAUAAAGACGAUACGCCCCGUUGUGGAGAACCUUGGUGACAAUGAAGGGUCCUUCCCAGGAGGGAGCAAGCUUAUGUUGUUUCUGCUGAUCCACUCGGAGAACUAGAUCCCCUUCCUGGAAGGCUCGACCUCUCACAUUUCUGGCGUAAAGGCAAUGCAAGUCUUGCUGGUAGAUGGUCGAGCGGAUCAGAGCCAUCUCCCUUUCUUCCUCUAGAAGGUCGACUGCGUCCUGACGCGCUUGCUCAGCUUCUGCUUCAUUGUAGAGUUCAAUCCGGGGAGCGUUGUGGAGAAGAUCACUCGGCAAGACUGCUUCAGCUCCAUAGACCAAGAAGAAUGGAGUUCUUCCGGUCGACCGAUUGGGUGUGGUCCGCAAUCCCCAAAGCACUGAAGGGAGUUCGUCGACCCAUGCUCCAGCCGCGUGCUUGAGACCACGCAUCAGUCGGGGUUUUAAACCUUUGAGGAUUAAGCCAUUGGCUCGCUCUGCUUGUCCAUUCGACUGUGGAUGGGCGACUGAAGCGUAGUCGACUCUGGUGCCUUGAGCGUUGCAGAAAUCCUUGAAUUCUUCCGAGUCAAAAUUCGACCCACUAUCUGUGAUAAUGUUGUGCGGGACUCCAUAUCUGAGCGUCAGCUCUCUGAUGAAGGAAACAGCAGUACCGGCAUCAAGAUUCUUGAUUGGUUUAGCCUCAAUCCACUUGGUGAACUUGUCGACUCCUACCAGUACAUGCGUGAAACCACUCCGACCCGUUCUCAAGGGACCGACCAUGUCUAACCCCCAUACUGCGAACGGCCAGACGAGUGGAAUGGUCUUCAGAGCUGACGCGGGCUUGUGUGACAUAUUGGAGUAGAAUUGGCAUCCUUCACACUUGUCCACAAUUUCCUUUGCCACCUCAUUCGCCCUCGGCCAAUAAAAUCCAGCUCGGUAUGCUUUGGCUACGAUGGUCCGAGAGGACGCAUGGUGACCACAGGUCCCCGAGUGGAUAUCAUUGAGAAUGAUUCGACCUUCUUCUGGCGUUAUGCAUUUUUGUCCAACUCCAGUCGGGCUUUCCCUAUACAGCUGUCCUUUGAUAACAGUAAAGGCUUUGGAUCGACGGACGAUCUGCCGAGCCUCUUCCUCAUCCUCUGGGAGAUCUUUUCUCAGGAUAUAUGCGAUAUAGGGAAUUGUCCAAUCGGGAGUGACCACUAAAACCUCCAUGACCAAGUCAACCACUGCCGGGACCUCAACCUCAGUCGGAUCUGUGGCACUCUUGGACUGUGGAGCUUCCUCUGUGAAGGGAUCUUCUUUAACUGAUGGAGUGUGUAUAUGUUCCAAAAACACACCACUCGGAAUGGCUUCUCUUUUGGAACCUAUCUUUGCCAGAUCAUCUGCUGCUUGAUUUUUCAGUCGGGGGAUGUGAUGGAGCUCCAAUCCCUCGAAUUUCUUUUCCAGCUUCCUCAUUGCAUUGCAGUAUCCAGUCAUGGCUGGGCUUCUCACGUCCCACUCCUUCAUCACCUGGUUGACCACUAAAUCUGAAUCGCCAUAAACCAUCAGGCGACGGACGCCGAGUGAGAUGGCCAUGCGCAAUCCAUAUAAAAGGGCCUCAUACUCUGCCUCAUUGUUGGAGGGAUCAAAGUAAAUCUGGAGCACAUAUCUAAGCUUAUAUCCUCUGGGGGAAACUAGAACAACCCCAGCACCAGAACCAUUCCGCAUUUUAGAGCCAUCGAAGAACAUGGUCCAAUGCUCCGAGUGAACUUCAGUCGGCUGCUGUUGUUCAAUCCACUCGGCGAGGAAAUCUGCUAUUGCUUGGGACUUAAUGGCUUUCUUUGCCUCAAAUUUGAUAUCAAGGGGAAGAAGUUCUGUUGCGUCUCUGUUGUGCAGAAUCUCUGAUAGAGGAGCGUCGCUGACGACUGUGAUAGAAUGAUCAGAGAAAUAAUGAGCAACCUUCUUCGUGGUCAUGUAUAUGCCAUACACAAGCUUCUGAUAAUGAGGAUAUCUCUACUUGGAUGGAGUCAAGACUUCAGACAAAUAAUACACCGGGCGCUGAACUUUGAAGGCCUUUCCUUCCUCUUCCCGCUAGACCGUAAGCACUGUACUGACGACUUGUCCUGUGGCUGCAAUAUAAAGCAACAGAGGCUCUUUGCUGAUUGGAGCAGCAAGCACCGGCUGGAUGGAGAGCAGAGCUUUUAGCUCGGCAAAUGCUGCAUCAGCUUCUGGAGUCCACUCGAACUUGUCUGCCUUCUUCAUCAGUCGGUAAAGAGGCAAUGCCUUUUCACCGAGUCGUGAAAUGAAUCGACUUAAAGCGGCCAAGCAUCCAGUAAGCUUCUGGACAUCGUGCACUCGCACAGGGCAUUUCAUUCGGAGAAUAGUGCCGAUCUUCUCUGGAUUAGCAUCGAUCCCUCGCUCGGAAACGAGAAAACCGAGUAACUUUCCACCAGGAACUCCGAAUGUGCACUUUGAUGGAUUGAGCUUGAUAUCAUACCUUCGGAGGUUGGCAAAUGUUUCGGCGAGGUCAGCAAGCAGGUCGGAACCUUUUCGCGACUUAACGACGAUAUCAUCCAUAUACGCUUCCACAUUCCGACUGGUUUGAGUGAGAAGACACUUCUGAAUCAUUCGCAUAAAUGUGGCUCCGGCAUUCUUGAGGCCGAAUGGCAUGGUGAUAUAGCAGAAGCACCCGAAUGGAGUGAUGAAAGCUGUUUUUAUUUCGUCGGGUCCAUACAGACGGAUCUGAUGAUACCCGGAAUAUGCGUCUAGAAAAGACAAUCUCUCACAUCCCGCGGUCGAGUCAACAAUUUGAUCUAUGCGAGGGAGAGGAAAAUGAUCUUUCGGGCAGGCCCGAUUGAUGUGCUUGAAAUCAAUGCACAUGCGGAGUGAGUUGUCCUUCUUGGGAACCAUGACGACAUUAGCGAGCCACUCGGAGUGGUAUGUCUCUCGGAUAAAUCAUGCCGCCAACAGUCGAGCCACUUCCUCACCAAUAGCUUUUCUCUUCUGGACGGCGGACCGCUGAAGAUGCUCUUUGACUGGUUUUGCUGAUUUGUCGACUCUGAGGUGAUGCUCAGCCAGUCCCCUGGGAACACCUGGCAUGUCAGCUGGCUUCCAUGCAAAAAUGUCCCAGUUCUCACGGAGGAACUGGAUGAGCGCUUCUUCCUAUUUCGGGUCGAGUGUCGUGGAGAUGUGGGUCGGGGCUGCAUUGGGGUCGGUCGGAUGGAUGUGAACUGGCUUCGUCUCACCAGACGACUGAAAUGCAGAUUCUGUGGCGGGUUUCUUGGAUCAUAACAAAUCACUCGGAUCCGCGUUUUGCUUGUACUCUUCGAACUCAACCGCUGUCACCUGGGAAUCGGCAAUCUUCGAGCCCUUCUGAAAGCACUCUUCUGCCUUUUUCUGAUCGCCAGUGACAGUGAUCACUCCUUUGGGACCUGGCAUUUUCAGUUUGAGGUACACGUAACAUGGUCGAGCCAUGAACCGUACAUAGGCGGGCCUCCCCCAAAAUGGCGUGAUACGCACUCUGAAAAUCCACGACCUCAAAGGUCAACUUUUCCUUGCGAAAAUGCUUGGAAUCACAAAAACCACGUCUAGAGCUAUUUGGCCGAGUGACUCAGCCUUCUUCCCUGGUAUGACUCCGUGGAAACUCAUGUUGCUAGUGCUCAACCGGGACAUCGGGAUGCCCAUUCCUUUCAGUGUGUCCGCAUACAACAAGUUCAGCCCACUACCACCGUCCAUCAGCACUUUCGUCAGUCGAGUUCCUUCGACAACUGGAUCGACCACCAAAGCUUGCCUCCCAGGGGUGGCAAUGUGAGUCGGGUGAUCAGAUUGGUCGAAUGUGAUGGGUGUUUGGGACCAUCUCACAUAACUUGGUUUUGCUGGGGCAACCAUGUUCACCUCACGGUUAAUGACUUUCAGUCGACUCUUGCUUUCCACAUCUGCGAAGAUCAUCAGAGUGGAGUUGACAUGCGGAUAUUUUUCCUCACUGUCCUCUUUGUCUCCGGCCUUGUCUGACUCCUUCUCCUUGUCCUUGGACUGUUUUCCCUGAAACUGCUGGAUCAGGAGUCGACACUGGCGAGUGGUGUGCUUUGGGUAAAUGAUGUUGCCCUCCUCAUCUUUCUUCGUGUGAAUAUGGAAUGGCAUAUCCAUCACGUCGUUUCCUUCCUUAUCCUUUACUUUCUUAGGAUUCCAGGAUCCUUUUGGUUUCCCCUUGAACUUUCCCUGAGUGACAGCCAGGGCCUCUCCAGGAGCUGCUGGCUCGGCUUUCCGCUUCUGCUUCUGACUGGAAUUUCCCUUCUCCGACUGACUUGGCUUGUACUUGCCGCUGCGGAGUCGGUCUUCUUCCUCGCCGUUGGCAUACUUGGUAGCAAUCUCCAUCAUUCGACUCAGGGUCAUGUCGCCGGUCCGACCAAACUUCAGACUCAAUUCUCUGUUCUUGACGCCAUCUUUGAAGGCGCAAACUGCUUGAUGGUCCGACAUAUUUUCCACAGUAUGGUGCAGAGUGAUCCACCUCUGAAUGUACUCUCGGAGAGUCUCAUUGGUCUUCUGCACACAGACUUGCAGCUCUGUCAAGCCAGCCGGUCGCUUACAAGUUCCUUCAAAAGUUCUGACGAACACUCGAGACAAAUCUUCCCAAGUGUGUAUACUGCUAGGAGGUAACUGAUUCAACCACGCUCUGGCAGAACCUUCCAACAUGAGGGGCAAAUGCUUCAUGGCCACCUCGUCAUUCCCACCACCAAUCUGGACAGCCACUCGGUAAUCUUCAAGCCAAGUUUCAGGCUUGGACUCCCCAGUGAAUUUGCUGACUCCUAUUGCCAACCUGAAAUUGGGGGGAAUCACUGCGGCUCUGAUAGCCCUGCUAAAACACUCUGGACCAGAAACAUGCACUCGACUGCUCGUGGGCGCAUCUCUCUCGGGUCCACCUCGCUGGGCUCUGUUCCAGUCGACCAAGCCUUGCACGAUAAUGGAUCGCGCGUCGAAGCCUGGUUCCCUGGGGUCGACUGGAAUUCUUCGCCCCGCACUGAACUGACGCCUGUCAUCCUGUCGCCGAGGAGCGUAAGACCCUUCCCUCGGAGGGGAAACAGGUACUCGACGCCUGUCAUCUCGGUCGUGUCGGUCUCCAUACUGAUCUCGCCGGUUGUCGCGCCCUUCCCGCCGCGGAGGCGAUCUGGGGCUGUGAGCAGACUGAACUGUAUUCGCAGCGACGGAUCGACUGUGAAUUCUGUUGCGCGACUGCGACACGGCUGAGUUCUGAUCUCCUGCUGCUCGGAGUAAGUCUCUGAUUUGCAUCAAGCCUCUCCCAGCUUCCGACUGUGAAGGCUGGAUGGACUCUGCUAUACGGGUUGCAGCUGCUAAAUUCUGAAUUGGCGUGCGGUAUACCUGAGUCGGCGGGAAGAGUCGACUGGCUUCGGGAACUCGUUGCCGCGUGCGCUCGUCGAGUGCUCGCUGAAGGUUCUCCAGGCGAGCGCGUUCAGCCACAUUGGCCAAACGUGCCUCCUCCAAGGCGCGAGCCUCGGGGGUUUCUCCCGCGAUGGGAGUAUGCAGGGCAUCCAUGUUCCUGCGGCAAAGCUCUUCUCUCUGUAGAGAGUCGAGUGUCUCGGGCUGGUACUCUUCGUGGUCUUGCGCGGGGUCACCUCCACCGCCCGCUCCACCCCCAUGGGCGAAGCCGGGAGGACUGUGGGGGCCAUCGACCAUGAGGAUUUCCACCGCUGGAUCACUGCUAUCGCAUUCGGAUGCAGUCUCUACGGAGCCAGUCGACAGAUCGAAUAGGCCAUAGAGGGACUCGUCCGGCUCAAUUGGCGCGACUUGGGCGGUGGCUGCCUGGCGAGCCACCGCGUGCUUCACCCACCGCUGAAGUCUCGACCGACUAGAGCGCUUGCGCUGGUGGGAGACCGGACGGGUGGCCGAUAAAGGAGUCGACCGAUAUGGGGUCGACGGUUGCCGCAGCAGAACGCCGCGGACACAUGCGCGAAAAUGCGUCGCACCGUGGACGGUGAGCGCAUCGAUGUCGAGUGGAGCCUCCUGGAGCCAUGCGGAGUCGUCGGCGACAAAGGUGAGAGCACCGAGACGGAUCUCGCGCCCCUCGACCAAAACUCCAGCAGUCAUCAUGAUGAAAGUACUCGGAAGUACCGCAACUUCUCCAAAAAAUCGCUAAAACACCGGCCCUACGGUGGGCGCCAACUGUCGUGGUUCUAAGUCUGACAGUAGAGUGGGGGUAGGUAUGGAGAGGCAAGGUCCUAGCUAUGGAGAGGUUGUAAACACAAGCGAUGUACGAGUUCAGGCCCUUCUCGGAGGAAGUAAAAGCCCUACGUCUCGGUGCCCGGAGGCAGUCGAGUGGAUUAUGCGUAUAGGUGUUACAAGAGUGCGAACCCCUCUGCCUGUGGAGGGGGGUGGCUUAUAUAGAGUGCGCCAGGACCCCAGCCAGCCCACAUAAUGGAGGGGUUAAAGUACAUUAAGCCUGGGGCGUUACUAGUAACGCCCCUCAUAAAGUGCCUUAACUAUCAUUAAGUCUAUUCAAUUACAGGCCGUUGCGUUGCAGAGUGCCUUCUGACCUUCUGGUGGUCGAGUGUAUCUUCAUGGUCGAGUCCUUCUAGUCAGUCGAGUGGGUUCCUCGUUGGUCGACUGGAAGGUGAUCUCUUCUAAGGGUGUCCUUGGGUAGGAUGUUUAGGUCAGGCCUAUGACCCUACCCUAGGUACAUGAAUCCAUC